rnacentral:rRNA from 1 species
GGUCCCUAUCUGCCGUGGACGUUUGAGAUUUGAGAGGGGCUGCUCCUAGUACGAGAGGACCGGAGUGGACGAACCUCUGGUGUUCCGGGUGUCACGCCAGUGGCAUUGCCGGGUAGCUAUGUUCGGAAAAGAUAACCGCUGAAAGCAUCUAAGCGGGAAACUUGCCUCAAGAUGAGAUCUCACUGGAACCUUGAGUUCCCUGAAGGG